rnacentral:rRNA from 1 species
UACGAAGGUGGCAAGCGUUGUUCGGAUUUACUGGGCGUAAAGCGUGCGCAGGCGGUUUUGUAAGCCGGAUGUGAAAUCCCCCGGGCUUAACCUGGGAAUGGCAUUCGGGACUGCAAGGCUGGAGUGCGGCAGAGGAGACUGGAAUUCCUGGUGUAGCAGUGAAAUGCGUAGAUAUCAGGAGGAACACCGAUGGCGAAGGCAGGUCUCUGGGCUGACACUGACGCUCAUGCACGAAAGCGUGGGGAGCAAACAGG